ACGUAUUCUGAAAGGGAAUACUUCUUCGGACAAUAUACAAGGUGCUGCAUGGUUGUCGUCAGCUCGUGCCGUGAGGUGUCGGGUUAAGUCCCAUAACGAGGCGCAACCCCCUAUCAUUAGUUGCCAUCAGGUCAAGCUGGGGACUCUAAUGAAACUGCCUACGCAAGUAGUGAGGAAGGCGGGGAUGACGUCAAAUCAGCACGGCCCUUACGUCCAGGGCUACACACGUGCUACAAUGGCCGAUACAGAGGGCAGCUACCUGGUGACAGGAUGCAAAUCUCCAAAGUCGGUCUCAGUUCGGAUCGGAGUCUGCAACCCGACUCCGUGAAGUUGGAUUCGCUAGUAAUCGCGCAUCAGCCAUGGCGCGGUGAAUACGUUCCCGGGCCUU
rnacentral:rRNA from 1 species